rnacentral:misc_RNA from 2 species
AACGCACAUUGCGCCCGCCAGCAUUCUGGCGGGCAUGCCUGUUCGAGCGUCAUUUCAACCCUCGAGCCCCCCCGGGGGCCUCGGUGUUGGGGGACGGCACACCAGCCGCCCCCGAAAUGCAGUGGCGACCCCGCCGCAGCCUCCCCUGCGUAGUAGCACACACCUCGCACCGGAGCGCGGAGGCGGUCACGCCGUAAAACGCCCAACUUUCUUAGAGUUGACCUCGGAUCAGGUAGGAAUACCCGCUGAACUUAA